rnacentral:rRNA from 1 species
CCGUUUUGUAGCGGAGGACAU